rnacentral:lncRNA from 1 species
CGAGGUGGGACUGGCGAUGAGAUGUGGAGAUGCUGACAAAUUUGCUGUAAAGUAGCAUCAAUGUUGUCAAAUCGUUGAAAACACUGAUGCUCGAAUCGGGUGAGGCACUCAGAGAUUUCAGCAUAUGAAGCUUUCGCAUGAACUGGACAAGAGGGCGGUGGUGGCUGAGUCGGUUGGUCCUCGUGCUGUGGGGGGACAUCAUCAGGAAUGUCCUCGUAGGCCUCCUCCUCGGUAGAUUGGGUGAGACGAUACUGGGGAGGGGAGAUUCCUCGGUGCCUCUCGAUCAUUUUCAUGCUAAGCAUGCUCGAGAUGCCUUGUGGAGACAUCUGCCCAAUUGAUGCAGCGGCCUGCUGCUAAAGGUCGGGCCCGAAGUAUUUGGAAGAGCUCUUCUUGGUGCCCUCGUGGAAACUGUAGGAGAGGGAAAAGAGAUGUGGAAGUGAGAAUUAAUGCAGG